UAAAAAUUAGUUUAUAAAAAACAUUAAUUUGUCAAAUUAAAGAAUUUAUUAUUUAGAAUUUUUAU
rnacentral:tRNA from 1 species